GUCAAGUUGUUUAUUUUAACAUGCCUAUUAUUUUAAAUCCCUUGGAACCAUUUACGGUGGACAUAAACAAAGAAAUAUAGAUUAGUACUAGUAUAACAAAAAGUUAGUGAAAUUGCUGCCGUACGUGUAUUCGCAUUGCAAACUUGCGAAAAAGUUGGCGCCUUGAUUACCUUAUGUUUGACAUGAAGGCCUGGUUACCAAUCGCG